GUAGAGGAUGCUUCUAGGCAGCGGCCGGUCUAAGUUCCUUGGAACAGGACGUCAUAGAGGGUGAGAAUCCCGUAUGCGACCGGUUGGCACCUAAUACGUAGCUCCUUCGACGAGUCGAGUAGUUUGGGAAUGCUGCUCUAAAUGGGAGGUAAAUUUCUUCUAAAGCUAAAUACCGGCCAGAGACCGAUAGCGCACAAGUAGAGUGAUCGAAAGAUGAAAAGCACUUUGGAAAGAGAGUUAAAAAGCACGUGAAAUUGUUGAAAGGGAAGCGCAUGCAACCAGACUUGUCGGCGGUGUUCCGCCGGUCUUCUGACCGGUCUAUUCGCCGUCGGCAGGCCAGCAUCACUUGGGGCCGCUGGAUAAAGGCCCGGGAAUGUAGCUCCUCGGAGUGUUAUAGCCCGGCGCACAAUACAGCGCGUCCCGAGUGAGGUCCGCGCUUCGGCUAGGAUGCUGGCGUAAUGGUUGUUUGCGGCCCGUCUUGAAACACGGACCAAGGAGUCUAACAUCUAUGCGAGUGUUCGGGUGUCAAACCCCUACGCGUAAUGAAAGUGAACGGAGGUGGGAACCGCAAGGUGCACCAUCGACCGAUCCUGAUGUCUUCGGAUGGAUUUGAGUAAGAGCAUAGCUGUUGGGACCCGAAAGAUGGUGAACUAUGCCUGAAUAGGGUGAAGCCAGAGGAAACUCUGGUGGAGGCUCGCAGCGGUUCUGACGUGCAAAUCGAUCGUCAAAUUUGGGUAUAGGGGCGAAAGACUAAUCGAACCAUCUAGUAGCU
rnacentral:rRNA from 1 species